CGAUGGCUCAUCCCCAGCUUGGAAGAUACCAGACACUCAGAGAAUCUAAGGAAAUUUUCAGCUGACCCUGAGGAAACUCCAAGUGAUACAUGGGUUGUAUAAGUGAGUCAAAAGAGCAUGAGCUACAUCUGGAGGGGCUGUGUUUACAGCUGAUAUGUUCAUGGCUUGAGCUGCGGGAAAAGGCUUGGAGAGCUCUCGUAUACUGGAUCAAGGUCUACAGUUGCUGACCACUGCUUUGAUUAUCUCACUGUAGCACAUAAUGUUUCGUACCCAGAGAAUGUAUUCUAGCAAGCCCCUAAAUUGUAUUUGGACAAAGAAUAAUUGAACACUGGA
rnacentral:lncRNA from 1 species